UCUCCUCAUAUCCUAGCAUAGAGAUGUUCUCAGGAUAUUAAUCAUUGAUGUCUUGAAAGAGAAGAUCUAUCUUCUCUUAGGACCUUUACUAUUAUAUAUUAUUUUUAAUUUUAGGGAAGUCAAAGGGUUUGACUUCUUCCUCAUUCCUCCUCAUAUUCUUCAUCUCUUGGAAUGUUCAAGAGAUCCGAAGAAUAUUUUUAGAUUAACCAUCCGGAG
rnacentral:lncRNA from 1 species